rnacentral:rRNA from 1 species
AAGCUUGCUUCUCUUGAGAGCGGCGGGACGGGUGAGUAAUGCCUAGGAAUCUGCCUGGUAGUGGGGGAUAACGUUCGGAAACGGACGCUAAUACCGCAUACGUCCUACGGGAGAAAGCAGGGGACCUUCGGGCCUUGCGCUAUCAGAUGAGCCUAGGUCGGAUUAGCUAGUUGGUGGGGUAAUGGCUCACCAAGGCGACGAUCCGUAACUGGUCUGAGAGGGUGAUCAGUCACACUGGAACUGAGACACGGUCCAGACUCCUACGGGAGGCAGCAGUGGGGAAUAUUGGACAAUGGGCGAAAGCCUGAUCCAGCCAUGCCGCGUGUGUGAAGAAGGUCUUCGGAUUGUAAAGCACUUUAAGUUGGGAGGAAGGGUUGUAGAUUAAUACUCUGCAAUUUUGACGUUACCGACAGAAUAAGCACCCGGCUAACUC